UACGUAGGGUCCAAGCGUUAAUCGGAAUUACUGGGCGUAAAGCGUGCGCAGGCGGUUCUGAAAGUCAGCUGUGAAAGCCCCGGGCUUAACCUGGGAAUUGCGGUUGAAACUACAGGGCUAGAAUCUGGCAGAGGGGGGUGGAAUUCCACGUGUAGCAGUGAAAUGCGUAGAGAUGUGGAGGAACACCGAUGGCGAAGGCAGCCCCCUGGGCUGAGAUUGACGCUCAGGCACGAAAGCGUGGGGAGCGAACAGG
rnacentral:rRNA from 1 species